UACGAGGGGGGCAAAUGUUGUUCGGAAUCACUGGGCGUAAAGGGAGCGUAGGCGGGUUUUUAAGUCAGGGGUGAAAUCCCAGAGCUCAACUCUGGAACUGCCUUUGAUACUGGGUAUCUCGAGUAUGGAAGAGGUGAGUGGAAUUCCGAGUGUAGAGGUGAAAUUCGUAGAUAUUCGGAGGAACACCAGUGGCGAAGGCGGCUCACUGGUCCAUUACUGACGCUGAGGUGCGAAAGCGUGGGGAGCAAACAGG
rnacentral:rRNA from 1 species